GGGAAGUGGGUUAAUAUUCCCACGCCCUAGGGGUAGGCGCGGUAACGCAAGCUGGACUCCUGACGGAUCUGGGUAGGGUGAGUGGGGCCACCGCCCCAUCCAAGCGCUUAAGUCCCUGGAGUGCCGUAAUGGUGAGAAGGGGACGAAGGCGUGAUGGGGUUCCCUUUGGGGACUUCACCCAAUCCCAGGUUCCCUUGAAAAGGGAGUCCAGAACGAUCCCCUAGGACCGUACCGAGAACCGACACUGG
rnacentral:rRNA from 1 species